AUGGAGGGACACACAAAAGAGAAUAAAAACUAUUUUCUCUAUCCAUCUGUUGAUGAACACCUAACCUGGCUCAAUUUGAAAGCUACUGUGAAGAAGGCGGCCCGGGUCAUCAUCGAGAAGUACUACACGCUCAUGGGUAAUGACUUCCACACCAACAAGCGCGUGUGCGAGGAGAUCCCCAUUAUCCCCAGCAAGAAACUAAGGAACAAGAUAGCCGGCUAUGUCACACAUCUGAUGAAGCGGAUUCAGAGGGGUCCCGUGAGAGGUAUCUCUAUCAAGUUGCAGGAAGAAGAGAGAGAGAGGAGAGAUAAUUAUGUUCCUGAGGUCUCAGCCCUAGAUCAGGAGAUCAUUGAGGUAGAUCCUGACACCAAGGAAAUGCUGAAGCUUCUGGACUUUGGCAGUCUCUCUAACCUUCAGGUCACUCAGCCUACGGUUGGGAUGAAUUUCAAAACACCACGUGGAACUGUUCAAUCUGUUAUGCCAUAUUUUCAAUAAACUUGAAAAAAAAA